rnacentral:ncRNA from 1 species
AUGGUUCCGGUUCACGCCCAGUGAACGCGGGCGACCCGGCGACC